GGGGGGGUGCUUGCACGGAAAAAACGUGAAAUAAGACAUAAUUUCACGUUGAACGUGAAAUAAUUUCUGUAAUGAACGUUGCACGAAAAAUAAAUACUUUUAUGUUAACCUUUUGUGACUGAAUCACUGUCUCUUUGUAUAUAUUAACUCUUUGUUUUACUUGAUAUUCCCGAUUUAGUGUACACAUUUAUGAUUUAAUUGGUUUACGGCUUUUAAAAAAGUAUUUCUUGCCAAGUGUUUGAAUUUUAUUUGAAAAUAACGAGCACGCAAAAUAAGACUUUGAAAAUCACGAUGCACGUUAAAUUAAAUAAGCAGAACACGUUGAACGAGGCACCCGUCUUGCACGACUGAACGUCAAAUAAAAAAGAAAAAACACGUUGAACGUAAAUAAAAAACGGCGAUCACGUUGCACGAAAAUAACCCUUUACCACCCUCGAUAA
rnacentral:lncRNA from 1 species